GACGAACGCUGGCGGCGUGCCUAAUACAUGCAAGUCGAACGCUUCUUUUCCACCGGAGCUUGCUCCACCGGAAAAAGAGGAGUGGCGAACGGGUGAGUAACACGUGGGUAACCUACCCAUCAGAGGGGGAUAACACUUGGAAACAGGUGCUAAUACCGCAUAACAGUUUAUGCCGCAUGGCAUAAGAGUGAAAGGCGCUUUCGGGUGUCGCUGAUGGAUGGACCCGCGGUGCAUUAGCUAGUUGGUGAGGUAACGGCUCACCAAGGCCACGAUGCAUAGCCGACCUGAGAGGGUGAUCGGCCACACUGGGACUGAGACACGGCCCAGACUCCUACGGGAGGCAGCAGUAGGGAAUCUUCGGCAAUGGACGAAAGUCUGACCGAGCAACGCCGCGUGAGUGAAGAAGGUUUUCGGAUCGUAAAACUCUGUUGUUAGAGAAGAACAAGGGACGNUNNUAGUAACUGAACGUCCCCUGACGGUAUCUAACCAGAAAGCCACGGCUAACUACGUGCCAGCAGCCGCGGUAAUACGUAGGUGGCAAGCGUUGUCCGGAUUUAUUGGGCGUAAAGCGAGCGCAGGCGGUUUCUUAAGUCUGAUGUGAAAGCCCCCGGCUCAACCG
rnacentral:rRNA from 1 species